GAUGAAGAACGUAGCGAAAUGCGAUAAGUAAUGCGAAUUGCAGAAUUUCCGUGAGUCAUCGAAUCUUUGAACGCACAUUGCGCCCGCUGGUAUUCCGGCGGGCAUGCCUGUUCGAGCGUCAUUUCAACCCUCAAGCCCCCGGGUUUGGUGUUGGGGAUCGGCUCUGCCUUCUGGCGGUGCCGCCCCCGAAAUACAUUGGCGGUCUCGCUGCAGCCUCCAUUGCGUAGUAGCUAACACCUCGCAACUGGAACGCGGCGCGGCCAUGCCGUAAAACCCCAACUUCUGAAUGUUGACCUCGGAUCAGGUAGGAAUACCCGCUGAACUUAAGCAUAUCAAUAAGCGGAGGA
rnacentral:misc_RNA from 1 species